rnacentral:SRP_RNA from 1 species
GAGAAACAGGGUCUCUGAGGUGGGAGGAUCGCUUGAGCCCAGGAGUUCUGGGCUGUAGUGGCCUAUGCCGAUCGGGUAUCCACACUCACUAAGUUUGGCAUCAAUAUGGUGACCUCCUGGGAGCGGGGGACCACCAGUUGCCUAAGGAGGGGUGAACCGGCCCAGGUCAGACACAGAGCAGGUCAAAACUCUCGUGCUGAUCAGUAGUGGGAUCGCGCCUGGGAAUAGCCACUGUACUCCAGCCUGGGCAACAUAGCAAGACCCUGUCUCU